UACGUAGGUCCCGAGCGUUGUCCGGAUUUAUUGGGCGUAAAGCGAGCGCAGGUGGUUUAUUAAGUCUGGUGUAAAAGGCAGUGGCUCAACCAUUGUAUGCAUUGGAAACUGGUAGACUUGAGUGCAGGAGAGGAGAGUGGAAUUCCAUGUGUAGCGGCGAGAUGCGUAGAUAUAUGGAGGAACACCGGUGGCGAAAGCGGCUCUCUGGCCUGUAACUGACACUGAGGCUCGAAAGCGUGGGGAGCAAACAGG
rnacentral:rRNA from 1 species